rnacentral:rRNA from 1 species
GAUAGGCUAAUUAAGAGCGUAAGGGGAAUGCCUUGGCUCUCAGAGGCGAUGAAGGACGUGAUAAGCUGCGAAAAGUUGCGGGGAGUGGCACAUACAUUAUAAUCCGCAAAUGUCCGAAUGGGGAAACCCGAUUAUUUGAAGAAUAAUCAUCCAUUUAUGGAAGCUAACCCGGAGAACUGAAACAUCUAAGUACCCGGAGGAAAAGAAAACAAUAGUGAUUCCGCUAGUAGUGGCGAGCGAACGCGGAAUAGCCCAAACCUGAAUUGUUUCGGCAAUUUAGGGGUUGUAGGACCACGAUAUUUAUUGCUUGAUGAAUUA